ensembl:snRNA U6 U6 spliceosomal RNA
GUGCUUGCUUCUGCAGCACAUAUACUAAAACUGGAACGAUACAGAGAAGAUUAGCAUGGCCCCUGCACAAGGAUGACACACAAAUUCAUGACGUGUUCCAUAUUUAA